GUAUUUCCGCCGGCGCGAAACGAGCGUAGCUUCCUUGUCGUGUGGCCUCAGUCCUUCGCCGUCCCUCGCCGUCCUUCGCCAUCGCACGCCACCGCACCCCAUCUCUCGAAAUCUGCAGACAUCUUGAUUUUUCCCACGCUGUCUGUCAGGUCUCCGCCGCCACUCGACGCCAGGGCGCCGGGUGAGUCCACAGCAGGGCGCAUGGUCGGCUCCACUCUCACCAUCGGGGGAAACUGAGGCCCCGGGGAAGGCGGCCAGAGAGGUCAGGCCCUGUCCUUGGUGCAGUGUCUCGUCCUCUUUGCCGGAGUGAGCCCCCCAGGAUUCGCGUGUCCUCGGGAAAGACACUGGCAGGCCUUGUGGGCUGUGCUGCACCUCGGACGGCUUCGCACCAGCCAGCGCCCUCUCUCUCCUGCAGCACUCUGAUCUGCACCCCCUGAGGGGCUUCCACUGUCCGCGGGGUGAGAAUGCCCCUGGGAGUGUCACAUGACUGCCGCCCCAUGUGUGUGAGAGGCGUCCUCUGGGAGAGCAUGGAUCCUGAGGUCCCAGGAUUGUCAGCUGACCUCUGUCCUGUGUGCCCAGUGGCCCCAGGUGACGUGUCUUCAAGAAGAGGCUGAGCUGCGGUGCUUGUAAGAUGGGUCUGCUGUGUGCAGAGGCUCCAUGGGAUGUGUUGUCUUCAUAGUAGCAGGGCGCUGGACCAUGGGUCCGCAAGGUGGGAUUUUUGGACUGUUGUCUGGAAUAUGUUUCUUUGCAUCCUGCAGAGUCAUGUGCUGUUCCUGGGGCUUGGAUGAUGUAGGGGAAGCAAGGUGAAAGUGGUAUCCCGUGGUUCCACGUUCUGUCCUGCUGUGGGGCUGUCCCUCACAUGCUUUCAGUGGCUGUUGCAGAGGAAGAGCCUCCGGAAAUCUGCGUGGGUCUCAGCCUUAGAUCCAAGGACAGUCCAAGGAAGUCCUAAGACCAUGGAGUUGGUGAUCUGGGAUCUGGGUUUGCUGAUAUUUCUCACCGUGAAUCUCUUGGUGGUGUUUGUGGGCACGAGAGGGGCAGAGAAUGGAGAGUGAGGCUACCACAUGAAGCGUCACCAGAGCUGCUCCCUGCUGCCUGCUCAGAGCACCCCGGAUCCACUGUUCAAUCUGCACAAGAUUCGGGGUCCAGACAUGGGAGACUUCAGCUGCCUCAGAGGACCGUGGACAGGGAAGGCCAGCCUCGCAUCCCUCUGUCCAUGCCUGGAAUGACUUUAAUAACCAAGAGUUUUAUUUUUGAAUUUGUAGCUGUCGUUCACUUUUUACCCACCCAUUCAAUAAACCUUACAGAAUUGCUCCA
rnacentral:lncRNA from 1 species